rnacentral:rRNA from 1 species
UACGUAGGGUCCGAGCGUUGUCCGGAAUUACUGGGCGUAAAGAGCUCGUAGGUGGUUUGUCGCGUUGUCCGUGAAAACUCACAGCUUAACUGUGGGCGUGCGGGCGAUACGGGCAGACUAGAGUGCGGUAGGGGAGAUUGGAAUUCCUGGUGUAGCGGUGGAAUGCGCAGAUAUCAGGAGGAACACCGAUGGCGAAGGCAGAUCUCUGGGCCGUAACUGACGCUGAGGAGCGAAAGCAUGGGGAGCGAACAGG